CCGGGGUGGUUUUGAUGCAUUUGGAUUUCGACCAGACGGUUACGAUAAGGACAGCUGUAACUGGUUCUACAACGGACCGCACUACCUACGGUUCUACUACCACACCCAACAGCAGCUAAUUUCAACCAAUCAACACACUCUUAACCACAUUACAAGAACCUGCUCUCCAAUCACAGCCCUGCCUCAGCACUGGCCUUUGCAGGAUUGGAUGGCUCUGGAUCAAGAGGAGAGCCAAGCCCUGAUUGGUCAGCUGGAGCGGGAGUGGGCAGGACAGAAGCAUUCUGAUAACUACUACACCCACAAGGUGAUGUCACAGAGGGGACGGGACAUUUGGCUGCCAAUCACCCCAGACAGCAGGUUUUGUUUUGAACUACACUGGUUCUCCGGUUGUCCUCUUGGCUCUGCCCCCUUGACCUGCCCUGACCUCUGCCGUGAAGCACGUUGUCUUGGUAACCCGAUGGCUGAGUGUCGUUUGCGGAACUGUGGCUCCUGCUUUACUGAGUGGCUUGACCCAACCACCGGAGCGGUGUAAGUUAGAUGGUCGUCCCUAUAAUUCCUCUAUCAACACCAUUGACGGCUGCCAGACCUGCACCUGCAAGGAGGGUAGUAUGGUGUGUUCCCCACCUUCCUGCCCCCCCAUCGACUGCUCUGAACAGGAGACACUUCAUGGAGAGUGCUGCCCUCGCUGUAGAGGUUGUAUCCAUACAGGCAUCCAUUACCACGACAGAGCUAAAUGGAGACCAUCAGAAAACCCCUGUAGUCUCUGUUACUGUCAG
rnacentral:lncRNA from 1 species